UCUGGCGCCACGGUUACUGAGAUGGGAUAAUUCUUCCAACAUGAUGUCUCUGGGAAUGCUGACUUUUUUGCCCAGGUGCAUGCCAUCUACAUCUGUAAAACAACAUUCAUGUGCAUGAAAACCCCAAGGUUCACCAGCUAUAGUGUCUCUACCAAACGACAAGAACUGGAGUGAACUUGCAGUUCAUGUUAAAAAACAACCCAUUUAGAGGGGCGGAGCAAGAUGGCGGAGGAGUAGGAGACCUGGAUUUCGUCUCCUCUCAGGAAUUCAGCUGGAUAGGGAUCAAACCAUUCUGAACACCUACAAACUCAACAGGAGAUCGAAGAAAAGAAGAGCAACAACUCUCUCAUCAGAAAAGCGACCACUUUCUGGAAGAGGGCUGCCACAGUGUGUUUCCAACUCCUUUGCCACUUGCUACAAGGAAAAAAGAGACUAAAUAAGGUAAAGAACAGAAAUGCAGAAGACUAAGUAACCUGCCCUAGCUCAGAAGCAUUGUUGCAAACACUCAAACCCAGGUUGUUUGGCUUCACAAUAGAUGCUCUUUACACUGUCUCUAAUAGUGAUGAAGGUCCAGACCAUCACAAUUCAUAUCUCCCCAUUAGAUUUAAAAUCUUUAAGGUAGACAUGUCUUUUACUCUUAGUGAGAUGCUUGUUGUCUUACGUAUACCUGUUGCUGUAAAAACUUGAUGCUUUAGGAAUAAAGCCAUUAGCAGAGAGAGAGACCUGAAUAACCAAUUUAGCUGAUUCUGGGACAGAUUCUGUUUCCUGUGUGCAGAAAAUUUACAAAGUAGCCAUGAAUUGGAUCUACUUUUAAUGUAGAUAACACCACUAAGUCUUACCUUACAUAGUUGAGCCUUGAACAGCAUGGGUCCAAUUAUACACAGAUUUUUUUCUGAUAAAUACAGUGCAGUACUGUAAGUACAUCAUUUUCUCUCCCUUACGUUUUUCUUAAAAACAUUUUCCUUUCUCUAGCCUACUUUAUUGUAAGACUACAUUCUAUAAUAUGUAUAAAAUACAAAGCACACGUUAAUCAACUGUUUAUGUUAUCAGUAAGGCUUCCGGUCAACAGUAGGCUAUUAGUAGUUAAGCUUUGGGGGAGUCAAAAUUAUAUGCAGAUUUUUGACUGUGGGGAACUGGGGGGGUUGGUGCCCCUAAUCCCCAUGUUGUUCAAGGGUCAACUGUAUAUUUCAAUGGCCCAUCCCAUAGUAAACUGCAGCAGGUGAACUGUCUCUGUGUGAAGAAAGACUCAGGCAAAUUUAUUUUCCUUAGGCAACACGCAGUGGGAAAAUAUCUCACUUAAGAAUUUGUUCUUUACCUGUUUACUAAACAAUUGCAGGGAAAAAAAUAGAUGAUUUUUUUAAGGAAAUAUGUAUUUACUUAAUGUAUUUAUGUAUGUAUUGAGUGUGUAUUUAGAAAUACUUUUUCUUUUAAUGGUCUAUUUCCCCCAAUUUUAUUACUAAUAUAUGAACAUUAUAUGUAAGUUAUGAAGCACAAUUUUAAAAUGAAUACCUGUGAAUAUAUUGCUCAACUUAAGAAAUAGAAUGCUAUCAAUGCUAUUGAAGCACAUAUCCGUCCCUUCUAUCUUUUCCCUGCUUCCCUGUCCCUUCCCAGAAAUACUCAUAAUAAUAAAUACUUUAAGUCAUUUCCUAGGUCAUCUUCAUGGUUUUUCCAAUGAGCACGUAUAUAUUGCUAAACUUGUAGUUUGCUUUGGGUUAUUUUUGAACUUUGUAAAAUAUUAACAAAUUAUCUAUAUUCUUCAGCAACUUCCUUUUCACUGAAAAAAGUUUCUAAGAUUCAUCCAUGUUAUGUUAUAGCUGCAGGUUAAUGAUUUUCACUACUGUUUAGUAUUCAUUGUAUGAAUAUACCACACUUUUACUAAUUCAGUCUCUUACUGAGAGGUAUUUGUUUUUGUUUUGU